AUUGAACGCUGGCGGUAGGCCUAACACAUGCAAGUCGAGCGGAUGAAGGGAGCUUGCUCCUGGAUUCAGCGGCGGACGGGUGAGUAAUGCCUAGGAAUCUGCCUGGUAGUGGGGGAUAACAUCCGGAAACGGGCGCUAAUACCGCAUACGUCCUGAGGGAGAAAGUGGGGGAUCUUCGAACCUCACGCUAUCAGAUGAGCCUAGGUCGGAUUAGCUAGUUGGUGGGGUAAAGGCCUACCAAGGCGACGAUCCGUAACUGGUCUGAGAGGAUGAUCAGUCACACUGGAACUGUGACACGGUCCAGACUCCUACGGGAGGCAGCAGUGGGGAAUAUUGGACAAUGGGCGAAAGCCUGAUCCAGCCAUGCCGCGUGUGUGAAGAAGGUCUUCGGAUUGUAAAGCACUUUAAGUUGGGAGGAAGGGCAGUAAGUUGAUACCUUGCUGUUUUGACGUUACCAACAGAAUAAGCACCGGCUAACUUCGUG
rnacentral:rRNA from 1 species